GAUGAAGAACGUAGCGAAAUGCGAUACGUAAUGUGAAUUGCAAAUUCAGUGAAUCAUCGAGUCUUUGAACGCACAUUGCGCCCCCUGGUAUUCCCGGGGGCAUGCCUGUCCGAGCGUCAUUGCUGCCCUCAAGCACGGCUUGUGUGUUGGGCCCCGUCCUCCGAUCCCGGGGGACGGGCCCGAAAGGCAGCGGCGGCACCGCGUCCGGUCCUCGAGCGUAUGGGGCUUUGUCACCCGCUCUGUAGGCCCGGCCGGCGCUUGCCGAUCAACCCAAAUUUUUAUCCAGGUUGACCUCGGAUCAGGUAGGGAUACCCUCUGAACUUAAGCAUAUCAAUAAGCGGAGGA
rnacentral:misc_RNA from 1 species